UACAGAGGGUGCAAGCGUUGUUCGGAAUUACUGGGCGUAAAGGGCGUGUAGGCGGUCUUGCAAGUCAGAUGUGAAAUCCCGGGGCUUAACUCCGGAAGUGCAUUUGAAACUGCAAGGCUUGAGUGCUGUAGAGGAUGGCGGAAUACCCAGUGGAGAGGUGAAAUUCGUAGAUAUUGGGUGGAACACCGGUGGCGAAGGCGGCCAUCUGGGCAGCAACUGACGCUGAGGCGCGAGAGCGUGGGGAGCAAACAGG
rnacentral:rRNA from 1 species